AGUUGUAGGCUUUGCCUGCUAUCUCUUACCCAUGUCUUUUAAGUACCUUCGUUUCCUCGGCGGGCUCGCCCGCCGAUUGGACAAUUUAAACCAUUUGCAGUUGCAAUCAGCGUCUGAAAAAACUUAAUAGUUACAACUUUCAACAACGGAUCUCUUGGUUCUGGCAUCGAUGAAGAACGCAGCGAAAUGCGAUAAGUAGUGUGAAUUGCAGAAUUCAGUGAAUCAUCGAAUCUUUGAACGCACAUUGCGCCCCUUGGUAUUCCAUGGGGCAUGCCUGUUCGAGCGUCAUUUGUACCUUCAAGCUCUGCUUGGUGUUGGGUGUUUGUCUCGCCUCUGCGUGUAGACUCGCCUCAAAACAAUUGGCAGCCGGCGUAUUGAUUUCGGAGCGCAGUACAUCUCGCGCUUUGCACUCAUAACGACGACGUCCAAAAGUACAUUUUUACACUCUUGACCUCGGAUCAGGUAGGGAUACCCGCUGAACUUAAGCAUAUCACUAAGCGG
rnacentral:rRNA from 1 species